GAGUUUGAUCGUGGCUCAGAUUGAACGCUGGCGGCGUGCUUAACACAUGCAAGUCGAUCGGUAACGCGGGGGCAACCCUGGCGACGAGAGGCGGACGGGUGAGGAACGCUUGGGAAUCUGCCCUUCAGCGGGGGACAACCCGGGGAAACUCGGGCUAAUACCGCAUACGCUCCACGGAGGAAAGCCGGGGACCGCAAGGCCUGGCACUGAAGGAUGAGCCCAAGCCGGAUUAGCUAGUUGGCGGGGUAACGGCCCACCAAGGCGACGAUCCGUAGCUGGUCUGAGAGGACGAUCAGCCACACCGGAACUGAGACACGGUCCGGACUCCUACGGGAGGCAGCAGUGGGGAAUAUUGGACAAUGGGGGAAACCCUGAUCCAGCGACGCCGCGUGGGUGAAGAAGGCCUGCGGGUUGUAAAGCCCUUUCGGUUGGGAAGAAAAGUAUCGACCUAACACGUCGGUACCUUGACGUAACCAACAAAGAAGCACCGGCUAACUCUGUGCCAGCCGCCGCGGUAAG
rnacentral:rRNA from 1 species